GAUGAACGCUGGCGGCGUGCCUAAUACAUGCAAGUCGAGCGAAUGGAUUAAGAGCUUGCUCUUAUGAAGUUAGCGGCGGACGGGUGAGUAACACGUGGGUAACCUGCCCAUAAGACUGGGAUAACUCCGGGAAACCGGGGCUAAUACCGGAUAACAUUUUGAACCGCAUGGUUCGAAAUUGAAAGACGGCUUCGGCUGUCACUUAUGGAUGGACCCGCGUCGCAUUAGCUAGUUGGUGAGGUAACGGCUCACCAAGGCAACGAUGCGUAGCCGACCUGAGAGGGUGAUCGGCCACACUGGGACUGAGACACGGCCCAGACUCCUACGGGAGGCAGCAGUAGGGAAUCUUCCGCAAUGGACGAAAGUCUGACGGAGCAACGCCGCGUGAGUGAUGAAGGCUUUCGGGUCGUAAAACUCUGUUGUUAGGGAAGAACAAGUGCUAGUUGAAUAAGCUGGCACCUUGACGGUACCUACCAGAAAGCCACGGCUAACUACGUGCCAGCAGCCGCAGUAA
rnacentral:rRNA from 1 species